GGGUAUCCCCUUAGAAGAGCUUGCAGGAAAGUGACAAAUUUGUGAUCAUACCAGUAGAUAAUUUAAGGAGUCCAAAAAAUUCUACAAAGAAAUCUUAGCCAUCAAGAAUGAUAAUAAAAAAUUUGAGUUCCAUCACAAAAGACUUUACUUUUUGAUCAUAAUGGAAAACUCAUCAUUCCCUCAAAUUUAUGAUUUCAAAAACAAAAGUCUCCCAAAACUGUAACUUUUAAGACUAAAAAAUUAGUUCUC
rnacentral:misc_RNA from 1 species